rnacentral:rRNA from 1 species
GUGCCCUACGGGGCGCAGCAGUGAGGAAUAUUGGUCAAUGGACGCAAGUCUGAACCAGCCAUGCCGCGUGCAGGAAGACGGCUCUAUGAGUUGUAAACUGCUUUUGUACGAGGGUAAAUGCAGGUACGUGUAUCUGUUUGAAAGUAUCGUACGAAUAAGGAUCGGCUAACUCCGUGCCAGCAGCCGCGGUAAUACGGAGGAUCCAAGCGUUAUCCGGAUUUAUUGGGUUUAAAGGGUGCGUAGGCGGUUUUUUAAGUUAGUGGUUAAACGUCGGGGCUUCACCUUGAUUUUGCAUUAAUACUGUA